AUACGGAGGGUGCAAGCGUUAAUCGGAAUUACUGGGCGUAAAGCGCGCGUAGGCGGAUAUUUAAGUCUCAUGCGAAAGCCCUGGGCUCAACCUGGGAACUGCAUGGGAUACUGGGUAUCUAGAAUACAGUAGAGGGUAGUGGAAUUUCAGGUGUAGCGGUGAAAUGCGUAGAGAUCUGAAGGAACAUCAGUGGCGAAGGCGACUACCUGGACUGAUAUUGACGCUGAGGUGCGAAAGCGUGGGGAGCAAACGGGAUUAGAAACCCUAGUAGUCC
rnacentral:rRNA from 1 species